CAUUUAUUUUUAAAUUAAUAUUUAAAAACCAGAAUAAUCCAUUUUUAUUAAUUUGCCUUUAUUUCUUCUCCCUUAUUUUGAAAUAAAAUAAUUGUAGUUAACAUUAUAAAAACACAACUUAAUAUUCUGUUUUUCUUAACUAGAAAGGAAAAGAACCAUGCAAAAACUUACUACAUUGAGAAAAUAGGAUGGCAGUAAAUGGGUUUAGGUUGUAUGUAUUUUUCCACUCCAUCCAAGUACCUGGCCAUUAUUUUCCAUUAGAUUGUAAACUCUCAUAAAACAUGGAUAUUCUGCUUCCUUUGUUUAAGUUUUAUAACACUGAUUAUAGUGGGUGCUCAGAAGAGGAAACAUUUUUGACUGGCUGACUCCAGUUUAAAUUUCUAAAAUAGGGUUGCUAACAUCUUCGUACCAAAAAUCUGAACAAAUGAAACAAAAACAAACAAAACCUUUCUUCAGCGUAACCUGAGACCACAUUAAAGUGAACUGAGGCUGGUGAGGCGUUAAAUUCAUGGGAAGAAAAUGGAAAAGUUCUUCCAUGUGGGGUUAUUUCCUCCAAGACUCUAGGGAAAUCUUUCUCUUUCAAGAGGUUUUAAAAGACUACAUCAAGCCAGAUGGGGAAUAUUUGGAGUUGUUUGCUCGAAAUUUACAGCCAGGUUGGACUAGUUGGGGCAAUGAAGUUCUCAAAUUUCAGCAUGUGGAUUAUUUUAUUGCUGUGGAGUCUGGAAGCUGACUAUGAUCUUGAUUAAAGUAGUGGUUUCUUCAUUGUUUCCUCACCACUUUUCCCUUAAUUCUAAGUCAUUUUUUUAUUUUGUUACCAACCCAUAUUCUUAGAAUAUAAACAGGACUUGUUUUUUUCAGUAAGGGACCAGAAGUGACUAGCCUUCAUGUAAUUUUAAGAUGAAUUUUACUUGAGUUGCACUAACAUUCUAUGUUAUUCUAGACUAUACAAAUUAAGUGGUAAGCAGUUAUAAAGACGGCAAGACCAUGCUAUUGAAAAAGUUCAGAAAACAUACACCGUGGACCAGAGGUCUUAAUCCUAUCUAUGGAUGUGUUUUGUGUGACCCAUACAGUGUUGUAAAAAACACUUAGAACCAUUAUUCUAAAAAAUGGGGCUAUUUCACAUUAAAGUCCAGAUUUCUGCUUCUUUUUAAACAUCAGAGGCUCUGGCUACACAGAGGCCUUUGUUCUUUCCUGGCAUCAGUCUGCAGGACCAAGCGGUGGUGGCUCACUUGGGAAGAGCCUUGUGCUCUCCACUUUGCCACAGUACCACUGCCACCAUGCUGCUCACUUAUGUCAUCCACUUGGCCCUUGUAUGACCUGAAUUUGCAACCUCUGGUAUACUGUUAUGUUCUGGAGAAAAUAUUCAAAGAUCUGCCAAAUACUGCAUUAGUAUACUGAGUUUAUACAGCAUUUUUGUAGGGUUUUAAAUUGCAUUCAAGGUCACUUUCCAAGCACUUUCUGGUUUUGCUUGUUUUUCUAGAAGAAAAUGAAAAGCUAUUCCUUAUAAUAAACAUGGCAGCAAGUAAACAGUGUGAUUGUGAAAAAAAUAUUAUUUAUAGAUUUUCUACAAAUAAAUAUUUGUCUACCAAGUAAAAUAUUUUGACUGAAAUGAUUCUUUGAAAUGCAUAUUGAUUUAUUAUGUAUUGACUUUUUAAAAAUUGAGGUAUAAUUUUCACAAAAUUCUCCAAUUUUCAGUGUCAAAUUCAGUGAAUUUUGAAAACAUAUAUACAGUUGUCUGUCUGCCACAGUGAUCAUGAUACAGAACACUUUCUUUACCCUGAAAACUUCUCAUUUUUCCUUUUGCAGUCAAUCCCCUGCUCCUAUCCUUGGCCCCUGGCAAACACUGGUUUGCUUUCUAUCAUUAGUUCUGCUGUUUGAGAAUUUCAUAUAAAUGGAAUCAUGCAAUGUGUAAUCUAUUGUGCCUGGCUUCUUUCACGUAGCAUUUUGAGAAAAGCAUUUAUACUAUUUACAGAUUGUUGACAAAUAUUUAUCCACUAAGUAAAAUGUUAGACUGAAAUGAUUCUUUGACAAGCUUGCCAAUUUACUGAUUUUGUCAAAGAAAAAUAUGUUAUUUUUGAAGUUUGUUCAUCCUUUGAGUGUGUGAGUAUAGUAUCAGAGGCUUAAUUUUGUAUUUAUGGAGCUAUUCUAACUUGUUAUUUAAAAGGAAAAAGGUAUUAAACUUGAAGCAAACUUCUCAUGA
rnacentral:lncRNA from 10 species